UUCGCCCUUAGAGUUUGAUCCUGGCUCAGGACGAACGCUGGCGGCGCGCUAACACAUGCAAGUCGAACGGAGCUGAGAGGAGCUUGCUUUUCUCAGCUUAGUGGCGAACGGGUGAGUAACGCGUGAGUAACCUGCCCUGGAGUGGGGGACAACAGUUGGAAACGACUGCUAAUACCGCAUAAGCCCACGGCCCGGCAUCGGGCUGCGGGAAAAGGAUUUAUUCGCUUCAGGAUGGACUCGCGUCCAAUUAGCUAGUUGGUGAGGUAACGGCCCACCAAGGCGACGAUUGGUAGCCGGACUGAGAGGUUGAACGGCCACAUUGGGACUGAGACACGGCCCAGACUCCUACGGGAGGCAGCAGUGGGGGAUAUUGCACAAUGGGGGAAACCCUGAUGCAGCAACGCCGCGUGUGGGAAGAAGGUUUUCGGAUUGUAAACCACUGUUCUUGGUGAAGAUAAUGACGGUAACCAAGGAGAAAGCUCCGGCUAACUACGUGCCAGCAGCCGCGGUAAUACGUAGGGAGCAAGCGUUGUCCGGAUUUACUGGGUGUAAAGGGUGCGUAGGCGGCUAGGCAAGUCAGACGUGAAAACCAUGGGCUCAACCUGUGGACUGCGUUUGAAACUGUUUAGCUUGAGUGAAGUAGAGGUAGGCGGAAUUCCCGGUGUAGCGGUGAAAUGCGUAGAGAUCGGGAGGAACACCAGUGGCGAAGGCGGCCUACUGGGCUUUAACUGACGCUGAGGCACGAAAGCAUGGGUAGCAAACAGGAUUAGAUACCCUGGUAGUCCACACCGUAAACGAGGAAUCCUAGGUGUUGGAGGAUUGACCCCUUCAGUGCCGCAGUUAACACAAUAAGAAAUCCACUCGGGGAGUACGACCGCAAGGUUGAAACUCAAAGGAAUUGACGGGGGCCCCGCACAAGCAGUGGAGGUAUGUUGGUUUAAUUCGAAGCAACGCGAAGAACCUUACCAGGUCUUGACAUCCUACUAACGAGAUAGAGAUAUGUUAGGUGCCCUUCGGGGAAAGUAGAGACAGGUGGUGCAUGGUUGUCGUCAGCUCGUGUCGUGAGAUGUUGGGUUAAGUCCCGCAACGAGCGCAACCCUUAUUGCCAGUUACUACGAAAGAGGACUCUGGCGAGACUGCCGUUGACAAAACGGAGGAAGGUGGGGAUGACGUCAAAUCAUCAUGCCCUUUAUGACCUGGGCUACACACGUACUACAAUGGCGUUUAACAAAGAGAAGCAAGACCGCGAGGUGGAGCAAAACUCAAAAACAACGUCUCAGUUCAGAUUGCAGGCUGCAACUCGCCUGCAUGAAGUCGGAAUUGCUAGUAAUCGCGGAUCAGCAUGCCGCGGUGAAUACGUUCCCGGGCCUUGCACACACCGCCCGUCA
rnacentral:rRNA from 1 species